GAACGGUUCUUUUGACCGAACCGGUACUUUCGGAUCAGUUCCGUGAAAGAUUCGUUCAUCUCGGUCAUUUCGUUCUUUUCUGUGAAUAGGAUCUGGCUCUUUUAUCAGGUGACGUAACUCGUUCAUCCUUUAGAGUAUUGGCUACGUGUUUGCUUCCAGCCUCCCCUCGUUAUCGCGUGACCUGAUAACGAGAGGAGGCUGGAUCGCGUGGGUGGUUAUCUUUAUCUACUCUGCAUGGGUAAAUGAAAUUUCAAACGUCUAGUUGUAUACUGACUGUUAUAAAAUUAUUGACUGUUGAUCGCUGCAAAUGCUUCAUGCAGUGAUUCUAUAUAAUACGGGAGCAUUAAAUCUAAGAAUGUUAGGUACGAAAGUGAUCUUUCUUAACUUUAAUUUGUAAUCGCACUAUUAUAGCUAGUACUUGAACAUUGCUUUUCGUAGCCAGUGAAUCACAGUUGCGUAUAUGAAACAAGAUUAUUUAUAUUGUAUUACUUUUUAAGUUACAAAUAUUAAUAUACAGGCUAUUUACACUCUAGAGAGAGUAAAGUGUUUACAUGUAGACCAACACAUUUAGAGAAAAAAAGACAAAAAUUGAAUACUACUACUGCGAUUCAGUAUGAAGAGAGAAAAAUGAAGUAGGUACAUUAAUUAACACCUAAAUGUGCCAGCUCUCAGUGAGCAGCCUCCCUACGGAGGCAGAGUGAAGACCAUUCGGCCCUGUGACCACAGAACACCCGACUAUUUCGGGAGAGACUCUAAUAGCAGGAAGCAGCUUUGAGCCCCCCAUACGUUCAUCCAACAGUCUUGGUGAGCAGAACUUCAAAGUCGGUGCAGACACCAUGUUGCUGCGAGCCUAAGAAGAAACAUUCCAACCAGUCACUUUGAAGGGUGUUAUCCAUGGGGAAUCCAAGUUCCACUACCAUCAAUAGAUGGCAGUUAGAGGUGAUGACGAACAGCCUAUUGCAGAGUUGAACAGCCUAUUGCAUUGUUGUGUCUCAUCAUAUUUCAUCAACGUAACAAUUUCUGUAAAUAUAGGAUAGUAUAAUUUCCUUUUUUUGUGUAUGAUGUGCUACAUGGUAUCAUGCCCCAAAUAUUGUGUAUAUAUUCCCAAAGUAACCUGGGAAAAUAAACAAUUACAGAUUAAUAUUUUUUUUCUGCUUUCCACACUUCUUCCCUCCAUCUCCUUGUAGCCACCUUCGGGACAAUGAUCAACUCUUAUCUCGAUAAAGGCCUUUCAGUUCACGGUCAUCCUGC